rnacentral:rRNA from 1 species
UACGUAGGCAGCGAGCGUUGUUCGGAGUUACUGGGCGUAAAGGGCGCGUAGGCGGCCUUCUAAGUCGAACGUGAAAUCCCCGGGCUCAACCCGGGAACUGCGUCCGAGACUGGAAGGCUUGAAUCCGGGAGAGGGAUGUGGAAUUCCAGGUGUAGCGGUGAAAUGCGUAGAUAUCUGGAGGAACAUCGGUGGCGAAGGCGGCAUCCUGGACCGGUAUUGACGCUGAGGCGCGAAAGCCAGGGGAGCAAACGGGG